GGUCAGUUAGCUCAGGUGGUUAGAUCAUGGUGUUACUAAUGCCAUGGUUGUGGGUUCAAUCCCCACACUGACCA